AGGAGGAACAGCCCUAGUGGCGGGGCCAGCUCUGGAAACCUGGAUUCAGCCCCGUCAGUAACUCCGGAGCUCUCGGUCUGCAGGGCCUGGAGGCUCCGGGGCGGG
rnacentral:pre_miRNA from 1 species